rnacentral:rRNA from 1 species
AACGAACGCUGGCGGCAGGCUUAACACAUGCAAGUCGAGCGCCCCGCAAGGGGAGCGGCAGACGGGUGAGUAACGCGUGGGAACGUACCCUUUGCUACGGAAUAGCUCCGGGAAACUGGAAUUAAUACCGUAUGUGCCCUACGGGGGAAAGAUUUACCGGCAAAGGAUCGGCCCGCGUUGGAUUAGCUAGUUGGUGGGGUAAUGGCCUACCAAGGCGACGAUCCAUAGCUGGUCUGAGAGGAUGAUCAGCCACAUUGGGACUGAGACACGGCCCAAACUCCUACGGGAGGCAGCAGUGGGGAAUAUUGGACAAUGGGCGCAAGCCUGAUCCAGCCAUGCCGCGUGAGUGAUGAAGGCCUUAGGGUUGUAAAGCUCUUUCACCGGAGAAGAUAAUGACGGUAUCCGGAGAAGAAGCCCCGGCUAACUUCGUGCCAGCAGCCGCCGUAAGAC